rnacentral:rRNA from 1 species
GACGAACGCUGGCGGCGUGCUUAACACAUGCAAGUCGAACGGAAAGGCCCUGCUUUUGUGGGGUGCUCGAGUGGCGAACGGGUGAGUAACACGUGAGUAACCUGCCCUUGACUUUGGGAUAACUUCAGGAAACUGGGGCUAAUACCGGAUAGGAGCUCCUGCUGCAUGGUGGGGGUUGGAAAGUUUCGGCGGUUGGGGAUGGACUCGCGGCUUAUCAGCUUGUUGGUGGGGUAGUGGCUUACCAAGGCUUUGACGGGUAGCCGGCCUGAGAGGGUGACCGGCCACAUGGGGACUGCGAUACGGACCAGACUCCUACGGGAGGCAGCAGUGGAGAAUAUUGCACAAUGGGGGGGAGCCUGAUGCGGCAACGCCGGGAGCGGGAUGACGGCCUUCGGGUUGUAAACCGCUUUCGCCUGUGACGAAGCGUGAGUGACGGUAAUGGGUAAAGAAGCACCGGCUAACUACGUG